CAACCUGCCCAUCACUUGGGGGUAACCUUGCGAAAGUAAGACUAAUACCCAAUGAUAUCUCAAGAAGACAUCUGAAUGAGAUUAAAGAUUUAUCGGUGAUGGAUGGGGAUGCGUCUGAUUAGCUUGUUGGCGGGGUAACGGCCCACCAAGGCGACGAUCAGUAGGGGUUCUGAGAGGAAGGUCCCCCACAUUGGAACUGAGACACGGUCCAAACUCCUACGGGAGGCAGCAGUGAGGAAUAUUGGUCAAUGGGCGAGAGCCUGAACCAGCCAAGUAGCGUGCAGGAUGACGGCCCUAUGGGUUGUAAACUGCUUUUAUAAGGGAAUAAAGUGAGCCUCGUGAGGCUUUUUGCAUGUACCUUAUGAAUAAGGACCGGCUAAUUCCGUGCCAGCAGCCGCGGUAAUACGGAAGGUCCGGGCGUUAUCCGGAUUUAUUGGGUUUAAAGGGAGCGUAGGCCGGAGAUUAAGCGUGUUGUGAAAUGUAGAUGCUCAACAUCUGCACUGCAGCGCGAACUGGUUUCCUUGAGUACGCACAAAGUGGGCGGAAUUCGUGGUGUAGCGGUGAAAUGCUUAGAUAUCACGAAGAACUCCGAUUG
rnacentral:rRNA from 1 species